rnacentral:tRNA from 1 species
GUACCCGUGGCCGAGUUGGUCGAUGGCGUCGGACUCUUAAUCCGCCUGCGAAAGCACACCGCUGGUUCGAAUCCAGCCGGGUACUCCA